CAGGACGAACGCUGGCGGCGUGCCUAACACAUGCAAGUCGAGCGAGAUAAACCCUUCGGGGGGACUCUAGCGGCGGACGGGUGAGUAACACGUGGGUAACCUGCCUCAAAGAGGGGGAUAGCCUCCCGAAAGGGAGAUUAAUACCGCAUAACAUUAUUUCUUCGCAUGAGGAGAUAAUCAAAGGAGUAAUCCGCUUUGAGAUGGACCCGCGGCGCAUUAGCUAGUUGGUGAGGUAAUGGCUCACCUAGGCAACGAUGCGUAGCCGACCUGAGAGGGUGAUCGGCCACAUUGGAACUGAGAUACGGUCCAGACUCCUACGGGAGGCAGCAGUGGGGAAUAUUGCGCAAUGGGGGAAACCCUGACGCAGCAACGCCGCGUGGGUGAAGAAGGCCUUCGGGUUGUAAAGCUCUGUCUUCUGGGACGAUAAUGACGGUACCGGAGGAGGAAGCCACGGCUAACUACGUGCCAGCCGCGGC
rnacentral:rRNA from 1 species